rnacentral:rRNA from 1 species
UACGGAGGGUGCAAGCGUUGUCCGGAAUCACUGGGCGUAAAGGGCGCGUAGGCGGCUCGGUAAGUAGGGGGGUGAAAUCCUGCGGCUUAACCGCAGGGCUGCCUUCUAAACUGUCGAGCUUGAGCACGGUAGAGGCAGAUGGAAUUCCCGGUGUAGCGGUGGAAUGCGUAGAGAUCAAGAGGAACACCUGAGGUGAAGACGGGUUGCUGGGCCGACACUGACGCUGACAGCGCGAAAAGCCAGGGGAGCAAACGGG